rnacentral:rRNA from 1 species
GAUGAACGCUAGCUACAGGCUUAACACAUGCAAGUCGAGGGGAAACGGCAUCGAAAGCUUGCUUUUGAUGGGCGUCGACCGGCGCACGGGUGAGUAACGCGUAUCCAACCUGCCCAUCACUUGGGAAUAACCUUGCGAAAGUAAGACUAAUGCCCAAUGACAUCCCACGAAGGCAUCCGAAUGGGAUUAAAGAUUUAUCGGUGAUGGAUGGGGAUGCGUCUGGUUAGCUUGUUGGCGGGGUGACGGCCCACCAAGGCAACGAUCAGUAGGGGUUCUGAGAGGAAGGUCCCCCACAUUGGAACUGAGACACGGUCCAAACUCCUACGGGAGGCAGCAGUGAGGAAUAUUGGUCAAUGGGCGAGAGCCUGAACCAGCCAAGUAGCGUGCAGGAUGACGGCCCUAUGGGUUGUAAACUGCUUUUAUAAGGGAAUAAAGUGGGUCACGUGUGACUUUUUGCAUGUACCUUAUGAAUAAGGACCGGCUAAUUCCGUG